UACAGAGGGGGCAAGCGUUGUUCGGAAUUACUGGGCGUAAAGGGCGCGUAGGCGGCCGCCUAAGUCGGAACGUGAAAUCCCCGGGCUCAACCCGGGAACUGCGUCCGAUACUGGGUGGCUUGAAUUCGGGAGAGGAUGCGGAAGUUCCAGGUGUAGCGGUAGAAAUGACGUAGAUAUCUGGAGGAACACCGGUGGCGAAGGCGGCAUCCUGGACCGACAUUGACGCUGAGGCGCGAAAGCCAGGGGAGCAAAGCGGG
rnacentral:rRNA from 1 species